rnacentral:rRNA from 1 species
ACGAACCGUCCAAAACGUUUAUUCGGAAUUACUGGGCUUAAAGGGUAUGUAGGCGGCGCUGUUAGUCGGGUGUGAAAGCCCUCGGCUCAACCGAGGAAUUGCGCCCGAUACUGCAGUGCUUGAGGGAGACAGAGGUAAGCGGAACUGAUGGUGGAGCGGUGAAAUGCGUUGAUAUCAUCAGGAACACCGGUGGCGAAAGCGGCUUACUGGGUCUCUUCUGACGCUGAGAUACGAAAGCUAGGGGAGCGGAAGGGGAUUAGACUACCCCCGUAGUCCUAGCUGUAAACGUUGAGCACUUGAGUCCGGGGACCCCCCCAUAGGUUCUCGGUCGUAGCGAAAGUGUUAAGUGCUCCGCCUGGGGAGUAUGGUCGCAAGGCUG